GAGUACACGCCGCGCCGGGUGCGGGGAGUAAAGCGGCGGUGAGGUGGGGACCACGACGUCGGCGUCGGCGUCGCUUCUUUGCCGAGGGCGUGGUCCUGAUCGCGGCUCUUCGCGAGUUCAGAGAUACAGACCGGAUCCGAUACCGGCGCUAGCUACUCUCGACGCUGUAAAAUUUCUCGACAGUCAGACCAGCUUUCGAAGACGACGAUCCAUAGUUUCCAGAGUCGGAACGUUUCUUCUACAGAUUCUCCGAAGGGGUAGUUUGGAAACUGUGAUUAUGUAAGAUAUUAACAUAAUGUCUUCCUUUCUUUUUCUCGAAUUUUUUAAUUGAUACUAUACGGCGUGGACUUUGGAAACAGAUGGAUGAUAAUAGAAGAUAUGUUUCUUCAACGUUCUACGAAGUUUGCGACGAAGAAUUACGUAUAUAGGACUUUUGGUUAGCGUCCCUUUUUUGUUUGUCUUUCUUGAUUUUCAUUAACACGUGUGGAGUUUGAAGAAAGAUGGAUGAUAAUGGAGAAGAUUUGUUUUCUCUUUGUUGAUUACUGUAUAAUUUUUUCAAAGUUUUAAAGAAACAUGUAUAUUGAAUUGUGUGACCAUGGUUCUUGCAAUAUGACGAGUUUUACAGUGUAGACUCUUAUUCAACGUUAGUUUCUUAAUAUAUAAUGGUUGGAGUUUGAAACAAAUUCGAAGAAUCGAAAUGUAUAUACAUUAAAAUUAUUAUCACGAUUAAUAGGUUUCAUAUUUAGUAAAUUUCAUUGAACUUAUAAUCAACGAAACAUCGAUAUGAUAAAGGACAUACGUAUUUUUAUGUAAUUGGAAGACUGUUUCCUCUUUUGAGGAAACUUAAUGUUAUAAAACGAAAAUUAUUAAAACUAUUACCAUGUAAAUCGUAUUUAUUAAAUAGAUUGAAAACGUAAAUUAAACGAAUAAAUUUCUGACUGAACAUGA